rnacentral:rRNA from 1 species
UACGAAGGGGGCUAGCGUUGUUCGGAAUUACUGGGCGUAAAGCGCACGCAGGCGGUUUUCCGCGUCGGACGUGAAAGUCCUGGGCUCAACCUGGGGAUUGCGUUCGAGACGGGAAGACUUGGGUUCGCGAGAGGGUGGCGGAAUUCCCAGUGUAGAGGUGGAAUUCGUAGAUAUUGGGAAGAACACCGGUGGCGAAGGCGGCCACCUGGCGCGAUACCGACGCUCAUGUGCGAAAAGCGU